rnacentral:lncRNA from 1 species
GCCCAGCUAGACCAGAUCCGGGGCAGCAGCAUCCUGUCACCUCUUGUUAUAGCUUUCUACCUUGGGGGAGCUCUUAGCUACACCAGUGAGCAGCUGGUCCUGAGACAGGAGAUACCGUGCCUAGUGCUUUCUUGAUCGGCACAGAAGGGAGCUCUCCAAGCAGUCCCUGGGGAGCAACUGCUGUGUGCCUGGACCCUCUGCAGCAACCUACAGGUCAAUCGUGAGCUGUGAAUGUGACAGGGCCCCAAACGUGUGCUCCCGUCCUGCAGUUUCAAAGCCAAGGAUGCAGGCCAGGUGAGGUGGCACAUGCCUGUAAU